UACGUAGGGACCAAGCGUUGUUCGGAAUUACUGGGCGUAAAGCGUGCGCAGGCGGUUUGCUAAGAGAGAUGUGAAAUCCCCGGGCUUAACCUGGGAACUGCGUUUCUAACUGGCAGGCUUGAGUGUGGCAGAGGGGGGUGGAAUUCCACGUGUAGCAGUGAAAUGCGUAGAUAUGUGGAGGAACACCGAUGGCGAAGGCAGCCCCCUGGGCUAACACUGACGCUCAUGCACGAAAGCGUGGGGAGCAAACAGG
rnacentral:rRNA from 1 species